UACGGGGGGGGUAAGCGUUGUUCGGAAUUACUGGGCGUAAAGGGCUCGUAGGUGGCCAACUAAGUCGGACGUGAAAUCCCUCAGCUUAACUGGGGAACUGCGUCCGAUACUGGAUGGCUUGAGUUUGGGAGAGGGAUGCGGAAUUCCAGGUGUAGCGGUGAAAUGCGUAGAUAUCUGGAGGAACACCGGUGGCGAAGGCGGCAUCCUGGACCAACACUGACACUGAGGAGCGAAAGCCAGGGGAGCAAACGGG
rnacentral:rRNA from 1 species